AGACUUGUUCUUAGUGUGUAGAAGUUUUUGAAAUAUAGAAAUAUAGAUAAAUAUAAGGAGCAAUAAACCCUCUUUUGAUAGAACAAGCAAAGGGUCUAUUGCUCCUUUAUUUUCUUUUCAAUUAGGAGUCCUUUUCUAGUAAUAUUGAACUUACCUAGAUUUUUCUUUCCAUAAAAGAAAGAAGAUAAAAAAAUGAUUGAGAUUCCAUCUUUUGUUUUACAAUUUUGAAAAAAAAAAAUUCAAAGUGAAUUCGUAAAUAAAAAARAAAUAUCAAUUUUUCUUUUUUAUAGUAAAGGGGCGGAUGUAGCCAAGUGGAUCAAGGCAGUGGAUUGUGAAUCCACCAUGCCCGCCUGUGUGAAAUUGUUAUCCAACAAGCAUUACUUUCAUGCAUAACGUCGUUUUACAACGUCGGGAGC
rnacentral:misc_RNA from 1 species